AGUAACACGUGGGUAACCUGCCCGGAAGUGGGGAAGUACCUCGGGGAAACUCGAGCUAAUGCCGCAUAAAAUCUCCGGGACGAAAGUCCUGAUGAUCAAAGCGGGGUCGCAAGAUCUCGCGCUACCGGAUGGGCCCGCGCCCGAUUAGCUAGUUGGUGAGGUAAUGGCUCACCAAGGCAACGAUCGGUAGCCGGCCUGAGAGGGUGAUCGGCCACACCGGAACUGAGACACGGUCCGG
rnacentral:rRNA from 1 species